GUGGCUCUGCUAGGGUUUUUUUAACCCGUUCUUCGUACCGCCACCAAGCCUCUGACCACGCCCCGAUUUCGACGGAGAGGGCACCAAAUUGACGACUCUGGCGACCAGGUAAGUUCCCCCUCUUUCUUUUAUGUUUUUUAAGCGAAAUAAAUAAAUAAAAUAAAAUGAAAAAAAUAAAAAUAAAAAAAACGAAACUAAGAAUGAAGAACACCAAAUGAAAAAAUCACCUUCUGUAUUAAAAAUUUUGUAUCUCUCUCGUAUCUUUCUCUAUUUUUUUCGUAUUUUCUUC
rnacentral:lncRNA from 1 species